AGCCUCUCAGAAUCGCACCUGGAGAGUUUCCAGUAUUCUACCAGUCUUGACUACAGCACGGAGAGUCGAGCAGAGGCCUGUCCAUUCCAUUCCUAGCUUGGCCAGUAGCUAGUGAGUGGAAAGCAAUCUGCUACAAGU